rnacentral:rRNA from 1 species
UACGGAGGGUGCAAGCGUUAUCCGGAUUCACUGGGUUUAAAGGGUGCGUAGGUGGGCAGGUAAGUCAGUGGUGAAAUCUCCGGGCUUAACCCGGAAACUGCCAUUGAUACUAUCAGUCUUGAAUACCGUGGAGGUCAGCGGAAUAUGUCAUGUAGCGGUGAAAUGCUUAGAUAUGACAUAGAACACCAAUUGCGAAGGCAGCUGGCUACACGGAUAUUGACACUGAGGCACGAAAGCGUGGGGAUCAAACAGG